rnacentral:lncRNA from 1 species
AUAGGCUGAAGGAAGAAAUGUGAAUUUACCAUACUAUAUGGUUAACUACACGGUAUGGUCAUAUAAGGCUGAGGGAAGAAAUGUGAAUUUACCAUACCAUAUGGUUAACUACACGGUAUGGUCAUAGUAAGGCUGAGGGAAGAAAUGUGAAUUUACCAUACCAUAUGGUUAACUACACGGUAUGGUCAUAGUAAGGCUGAGGGAAGAAAUGUGAAUUUACCAUACCAUAUGGUUAACUACACGGUAUGGUCAUAGUAAGGCUGAGGGAAGAAAUGUGAAUUUACCAUACCAUAUGGUUAACUACAUGGUAUGGUCAUAUAAGGCUGAGGGAAGAAAUGUGAAUUUGCCAUACUAUAUGGUUAACUACACGGUAUGGUCAUAGGCUGAGGGAAGAAAUGUGAAUUUACCAUACUAUAUGGUUAACUACACGGUAUGGUCAUAGUAAGGCUGAGGGAAGAAAUGUGAAUUUACCAUACCAUAUGGUUAACUACACGGUAUGGUCAUAGUAAGGCUGAGGGAAGAAAUGUGAAUUUACCAUACCAUAUGGUUAACUACACGGUAUGGUCAUAGUAAGGCUGAGGGAAGAAAUGUGAAUUUACCAUACUAUAUGGUUAACUACACGGUAUGGUCAUAGUAAGGCUGAGGGAAGAAAUGUAACAGUGUGUCUGAAUAUACAUUUUAUAUGCUUUUGAAAUAUUUUAGAUACAUACAAAAAUAAAAGUAAAUUUUAAAAAAUCACCUGAGCCUGGAGGUCAAGGUGGCAGUGAGCUGUGAUCACACUACUGCACUCCAGCCUGGGCAACAGAGUGAGACCCUGUCUCAAAAAAAUAAAAAAGAAAAAAGAAACUUUAUAGCUUGAUGUAAUCCCAGUUAUCUAUUUUUGCUUCUGUUUCCUAUGCUUUGGGGGUUUUCUCAAAAACUCCUUACCCAGGCCAGUGCCAUGGAGAUUUUCCCCUACGUUUUCUUUUAGUAGUUUCAUAAUUUGGUACUUACAUUUAAGUCAUUAAUUCAUUUUGAGUUAAUUUUUGUAUAUGGUGUGAUCUGAGGGUGGGUUUAGAGUCUCAGUCCAUGAUUACUGGCCUGGAAUAUGGGAUGUGGGGGUUUUCCUGGUGCUGGGCCUGGUAUUGGGGUCUAAGGAAAAGUCCUUUGUUCACUUCCCUCUCUUCGUCCCCAGAGGAUGGCAUGUCUCUCAAUUCUGUGCUGCCUGGGGCUGGGGAAGGAUGAUGUGGGUAAUUUAAAACCGCCUAUCCUACCCUCGCCAGUGUAUAAUUUCUCAUUAUGCUACAGCCAGAUACUGCGAUCUCUCACCUGGUUUCCUGAGCUCGCGUGAAGAUAUUUUCAAGCAUGAAUAGUUGUUCAAAUUGAUGUUUCUGUGGCGGGACAAUCACUGUAAAGUCCUAUUUUGCCGUCUUGCUUCACUCCUAUCCAGCAAAAGAGAGAAUCUUCAAAGCAUCACAAGAGAAGUAAACUUGUCACAUAUAAGGGAUCCUCA